GGGCGAUGACGACGAUGAUUAUACCAUCAAACUAUGAAAGCUUCAGGGCUUGUUGAUGUCAUCAAAAUCAUUACUAUCUGAGCCU
rnacentral:snoRNA from 1 species